rnacentral:rRNA from 1 species
AACGAACGCUGGCGGCAGGCUUAACACAUGCAAGUCGAGCGCCCCGCAAGGGGAGCGGCAGACGGGUGAGUAACGCGUGGGAAUCUACCCAUCUCUACGGAUUAACGCAUGGAAACGUGUGCUAAUACCGUAUACGUCCUUCGGGAGAAAGAUUUAUCGGAGAUGGAUGAGCCCGCGUUGGAUUAGCUAGUUGGUGGGGUAAAGGCCUACCAAGGUGACGAUCCAUAGCUGGUCUGAGAGGAUGAUCAGCCACACUGGGACUGAGACACGGCCCAGACUCCUACGGGAGGCAGCAGUGGGGAAUAUUGGACAAUGGGCGCAAGCCUGAUCCAGCCAUGCCGCGUGAGUGAUGAAGGCCCUAGGGUUGUAAAGCUCUUUCACCGGUGAAGAUAAUGACGGUAACCGGAGAAGAAGCCCCGGCUAACUUCGUGCCAGCCGCCGCGGUAACAC